UGCACCAACAACAAAUCUGGUUACCUGUGAAUCAGGAACUGCCCAUCUCAGCUGUGCACAGGGAACCAUUAAGGUGCUUUCUGCCAACUAUGGGCGAACCGACCGAACAACCUGCUCUACUGGAAGACCAGCUCACCAGCUCUCAAAUGUUCAGUGCACUCAGAGCACAUCCCUAAGUGUGGUGACCACUCAAUGUGAUGGAAAGCAGAAUUGUUCCAUUGUUGUGCGGAAUAGCAGUUUUCACUGAUCCUUGUCCUGGAACUUACAAAUAUCUGAAUGUGUCUUACGAGUGCAUCUUAC